rnacentral:rRNA from 1 species
AUACGGAGGAUCCGAGCGUUAUCCGGAUUUAUUGGGUUUAAAGGGUGCGCAGGCGGGAGAUUAAGUCGGCGGUGAAAUUUUGCAGCUCAACUGUAAAAAUGCCUUCGAAAAUGGUUUUCUUGAGUGUAGAUGAAGUAGGCGGAAUUUGUGGUGUAGCGGUGAAAUGCAUAGAUAUCUCGAGGAACUCCGAUUGCGCAGGCAGCUUACUAAACUACUACUGACGCUCAGGCACGAAGGCGUGGAGAUCAAACAGGAUUAGAUACCCUGGUAGGCCACGCAGUAAACGAUGAUUACUAGCUGUUUGCGAUACAAUGUAAGCGGCUGAGCGAAAGCGUUAAGUAAUCCACCUGGGGAGUACGUUCGCAAGAAUGAAACUCAAAGGAAUUGACGGGG